AUUGAACGCUGGCGGCAUGCCUUACGCAUGCAAGUCGAACGGCAGCACGGGAGCAAUCCUGGUGGCGAGUGGCGAACGGGUGAGUAAAGCAUCGGAACGUGCCCAGUCGUGGGGGAUAGCGUAGCGAAAGUUACGCUAAUACCGCAUACGAUCUAUGGAUGAAAGCGGGGAAUCGCAAGACCUCGCGCGAUUGGAGCGGCCGAUAUCAGAUUAGGUAGUUGGUGGGGUAAAGGCUCACCAAGCCGACGAUCUGUAGCUGGUCUGAGAGGACGACCAGCCACACUGGGACUGAGACACGGCCCAGACUCCUACGGGAGGCAGCAGUGGGGAAUUUUGGACAAUGGGCGCAAGCCUAAUCCAGCCAUGCCGCGUGCAGGAUGAAGGCCUUCGGGUUGUAAACUGCUUUUGUACGGAACGAAAAGGUUUGACUUAAUACGUUGGACUCAUGACGGUACCGUAAGAAUAAGCACCGGCUAACUACGUGCCAGCAGCCGCCGUAA
rnacentral:rRNA from 1 species